GAUGAACGCUGGCGGCGUGCCUAAUACAUGCAAGUCGAGCGAACGGACGAGAAGCUUGCUUCUCUGAUGUUAGCGGCGGACGGGUGAGUAACACGUGGAUAACCUACCUAUAAGACUGGGAUAACUGCGGGAAACCGUAGCUAAUGCCGGGUAAUAUUUUGAACCGCAUGGUUCAAAAGUUAAAGACGGUCUUGCUGUCACUUAUAGAUAGAUCCGCGCUGCAUUAGCUAGUUGGUAAGGUAACGGCUUACCAAGGCAACGAUGGAUAGCCGACCUGAGAGGGUGAUCGCCCCCACGAGAACUGAGACAGGGUCCAGACUCCUACGGGAGGCAGCAGUAGGGAAUGUUCCGCAAUGGGCGAAAGCCUGACGGAGCAGCGCCGCGUGAGUGAUGAAGGUCUUCGGAUCGUAAAACUCUGUUAUUAGGGAAGAACAUAUGUGUAAGUAAAUGUGCCCAUCUUGACGGUACCUAAUCAGAAAGCCACGGCUAACUACGUG
rnacentral:rRNA from 1 species